rnacentral:sRNA from 1 species
GCAGGGCAUGGUGGUGCAUGCCUGUAAUCCCAGUGACUCAGGAGGCUGAGACAAGAGGAUCAAAAGUUUGAGUCUGGCCCCAGCAAUGUAGUGAGACCCUGUCUCAA